CGCCGCUGCUAAAGCGGAGGAAGGAGCGGGCUACGGUAGGUCAGUAUGCCCCGAAUCAUCCGGGCUACACGCGGGCUACAAUGGUUGGGACAAUGGGCACCUACACCGAGAGGUGAUGGUAAUCUCCUAAACCCAGCCUUAGUUCGGAUUGAGGGCUGCAACUCGCCCUCAUGAAGCCGGAAUCCGUAGUAAUCGCGUAUCAAUAUCACGCGGUGAAUACGUCCCUGCUCCUUG
rnacentral:rRNA from 1 species